rnacentral:rRNA from 1 species
UACGGGGGAGCAAGCGUUGUUCGGAUUUACUGGGCGUAAAGGGCGCGUAGGCGGCCACCGCAAGUCGACUGUGAAAUCUCCGGGCUUAACCCGGAAAGGUCAGCCGAUACUGCGGGCUAGAGUGCAGAAGGGGCAACUGGAAUUCUCGGUGUAGCGGUGAAUGCGUAGAUAUCGAGAGGACACCUGCGGCGAAGGCGGGUUGCUGGGCUGGCACUGACGCUGAUGCGCGAAAGCUAGGGGAGCGAACGGG